AGCGGCAGGCUUAACACAUGCAAGUCGAGGGGCAGCACGGGUAGCAAUACCUGGUGGCGACCGGCGCAAGGGUGCGUAACGCGUGAGCAACAUGCCCUAUACAGGGGGAUAAUCCAGGGAAACUUGGUCUAAUAUCCCAUAGUAUUUAGAGAGGCAUCUUCUAUAAAUUAAAGCUUCGGUGGUAUAGGAUUGGCUCGCGUGACAUUAGCUAGAUGGUGAGGUAACGGCUCACCAUGGCAAUGAUGUCUAGGGGUUCUGAGAGGAAGGCCCCCCACACUGGGACUGAGACACGGCCCAGACUCCUACGGGAGGCAGCAGUGAGGAAUAUUGGACAAUGGAUGGAAAUCUGAUCCAGCCAUGCCGCGUGCAGGAAGACAGCCCUAUGGGUUGUAAACUGCUUUUUAUAUGGGAGCAAUAAGGUCUACGUGUAGACUGAUGAGAGUACCAUAUGAAUAAGCAUCGGCUAACUCCGUG
rnacentral:rRNA from 1 species